CUUCUCCGGGCAGCAGGAAUCUGGCACGGCUUCAUGGUUUCCCCAGCCCACACUUCUGGACCAGUCGGUAACUCCUCACCUCUCUCCUCCAAACCCCAGAUCAUCCCGAGCAGAACCUGGGCUUUGACAGCGCUCUGCGUCCAGUGUCGCUGUAGUGACGACAGGACGUGGCUAACCUCCUCCGCCUCCUGCUGCCAGGUUAAACCAUCGAAGUGGCAGUCGUACAGAACCAGAGGGUAGUCCACUGCCAUGCUGCAAGCCAGAAGAACAAACCUAUGAAAAAUUAUCUCCUGUUAAAAGACGCAUCAAAAUGCCUCUGCUGUCCUUAUUUGAUGCAGAGGAGUGGUGGCUCUACAGCAAGAUCACUGGGUCACAAAGAGGCUCGUGCUUCUACCAAGGUUCUCUUCAGACCUGGCUUCAAGGGUUCAGCAGGAAGUUCAAGGAUUUUUGUAAAUGUUUUAAAUAUCUAUAGAAGAAAAACAUAAUCUUA